rnacentral:lncRNA from 1 species
UGUGAAGUUGCAUGAAGUUUAUAAAUGUUGACUCUUCAGGGAAGCCAUUUCAGCUUUGCCUCGGGUAAUUUGUCUUUCUUUUUUUCCCUCUCAGUAGAGAUGCUGGUGUCCCACAUCCUGUUGGUCUCGUCUCUCCGGGACUGUGGCCCUCCAGGAGAAAUUCCCUUCUGAAGGAGAAGCAACAGCCUAGAGGACCUCUUAGAAAGGACCGCAUCAUCAGCUAAGGAGGAAAAGUAACAAAGAACUUGAAGACUUUCAUGGCUCCCAGGCCCUGGAUGGAGGCAGACGGCAUCAGGCAGCUUCAGACAGAGAAUGGUGGAAGCUGAGGGGCAGCUAGGAUGCGCCUGGGGCUGCAAAGCCCAGGCUCUCCAAAGUAUCUUUUCUUUCUAUCGACAAAACAGGAAGAUAAUGGAAAUGGGAUCCACUCCAUUCAUCAUGUGCUUCAUUUUGUUCCUCUUCUCUGCUUUCAUUGAUCGACUUUCUCCUCCUAUCACUGCUUUCCCUGCACGGGUUCAGAAUUUCACCUCUGCUUUGUAA